rnacentral:rRNA from 1 species
AGUGACGAUAGCCUAGGAGAUACACCUGUUCCCAUGCCGAACACAGAAGUUAAGCCCUAGCACGCCUGAUGUAGUUGGGGGUUGCCCCCUGUUAGAUACGGUAGUCGCU